GCUCUUCGUCUGGUCCCUCGCAUGUGUCCCAGGAUUCCAUUGUGACAUCCGACAAUUCAACUUCGCAGACAUCAAUUGAGAUCCUAGGGUGCAAAGUCAAGGCAGCCACAGGCCCUUGUCCUCUGGGAGGUCCCACGGCCUCAGGAGAGGCAGCCGCGGGACGGAGGAUCACAACAGACUGUGACAAGGAGGUCCAUGAUGGAAAUGUUGGGAGAGGGUGGGGGGUCCAAGACAAGCCCCACCCAGCUUGCAUGUGUGCCAAGCCCAGGGAAGUAUCUGGUUACAAAGUUGGCUUUUUAAUAGGAUUCAUCCGCCAUUCUAGAGAGAGCACUUAAUGCCGUCCAGGAAAGGAGCUGGCAGUGAUACUAAAAGCCAAAGGAAGGAGAGAGGAGAAGGAGGCAGAGAGAAGCCAACACGAGGACUGAGAGACGUUUAAGCAAACCCGGGAAUGAACAGAGCGGGUGGGGAGAGCCCUUGGAGAGGCUGGGCCUCUUCCUGGCUAUGGGCAACUUCGGGGAAGGAAGGCUGAGCUCCGGGGUGCUCCCCCCAAUGGCUUGCACCCCUUAUUUCAGUAUUCUACUCCACACUCAGCCUGCACUAACAAGGAAUCAAAGACGUCUCUGAAGUCCCCAGUGAAUCCACUGUCCACUGCUCAUUGCCCCUUGACUGGAUCCGUCUUCACUGUGGAAAGAGCAUGCAUGUGUGAAUAGAGGCCCGGGGAGGCAGCCUGGGCAGCCCGCUUUUCUCAGGACCCCACUAAUGUGGCAUGGCCUGGGUGCUCACCACUGUGGACAUCUGAGCCUUUUAGACAAGAGGGCCAUUUGUCACCGUCAUUGGUUUCCAGGAAAGCGCCCUUGAGGCGGCCCCCGUCCUUCCUGGAGGUGCCAGGUUCUCAGCGUCUCCCUCUCAGUAUGGAAGCAUCGUGGAGAGGGCUGAAAGGUGGGGGCACAGCCCCUGGGUGUCACUUAAGAGGCCCCUGUGUGUCGGCGGGUCUCCCAGUCUCCCAGUUCAGCCUGGCUGGGCUCUCAGUGGGCAGCUCAUGUCCAGGCCAGGCCGGUGGAAUAGCACAAAACUACCGAGCUGAAGCAAGAGUCCAGACAUCCUCGGGACCAGGGUCCUGGCGAGCAGAUUCAGUUUCCCUCGGGGGUCCAUGGAGCCCAAUAUUCCCCAGACAGGCCUCAAGGGCUGGGGGUGAGGGAUGGGCUGGGCUCCAAGCACGGGACACUGAGAGGAUCCUCCCUGCUUCCAUCCCAACCAGAGACAGCCCCUUGGGUCAGCGCUGCCGACUGCAAUUCAAUGCAAGACUUUGGGAUCCAGGAAAGGUUUCCUUUUGCUCAAGACCUUCAGUGAGCAGACAGAUUCCUCUUGUCUUGCUGUUCUUCUCCUGGCCGCAGCUUACAGGGCUGGACGCCUUGAAUUCGCUAUCCUUCACCUCCGAGCGGAGUUUAGAAAUUCACCUUUUAUUUUCUACCGGCAGAAAAAGAAACAUUUGCUUCAAAACGUCUCGUUAGACUCUUUUUGGAACUCAAGAUAUGUGGAAAAGGAUCAUAACUGCCAGGAUGAGGAGGGAUUCUGAAUUCUCAGACAUUUUGGGGUUGAUUGUCCCCUAAAAGGCUGUCACAUGUGAAAGGAGAAAUACCUGGGGAGCUGGAGGCUGGAGUUUAGCGCGUUCCUCCAGUGACGUGGAGCAAAGCAUUUGACUCCCCGGGGCCUCCUUGUCCUAGACGGUUACCUCGGGUCAGUGAACUGGAUGCUCCUUAGCUAGUGGCAAACAGCUGAGUCACUUGUGGAACAUUAAAACCAAGUAAAAAUCAAAACCACUCAAAUGCAUGACUGGCUCCCACUCCUGGGGGCUCUUCUUUAGCAGGUCUGAGUGGGGCCUGAACACACGUCCUUUUUAGAAAACUCAGAGUCUUCCGACACAUGUGUCUGUUGGAGAACCACUGGACCAGAAUGAUGUCCAGCAGAGCUCUUUCCAGAGGAGGGGCAGUUAAGUGGCUUCCAAAACAUCCCCAAGGUUCAGAAAAACAACACCGAAGAAUUUGACUCAAGGCUCGGGUCACGCACAUUCCUUCCCAAAUGAGGCUGAGUCACUGCAGAGCUUCUGCUCUCCUCCACUCACAUCUGGUGUUCUCCCAGAUGUGGGCGCCUCCUCCACCCCGGGGAAGGAAUGUUUUCUUGUUCGCUGGCCGGCCCCGUGCCUUCCGAAGGGUCAUUUGAACUGGAGUGGCGCAGUGAAGGAAAAAUAGCUGGUGGGAUGACAAAUGGGUUUGAUUUCAAAGAAGCCUGUUUUCAGACUGAGGAUGGGCGCGCUGGCCGCGCCUGGCUCUGCCUUGGAGCGCUGAGUCAUGACAGCUCAGCUGACUCAGGUUUCACAAUCAGCCUCCGGGUCAACCCGAAGCAUGCCCUUUCCAAGAAAGAGCCUAAGUCUGACCUAGCAACGUGCUUUUUGUGUGUUAAACACUAAGUUGAUUCUGUUCAAAAGACAAGGAAAAACAGCCUUGGAAUGUCCCAGGCUGAUUUUCCUAAGAAUUCUUUGGACUUGGGGCGUCAUUUCUUCUGUGGUUCCAUCUGUUGAAAAUACUGUAGCCCCAUCAAUUACUGCCUCAGAACACGUUUAUUAAAUACCUAGGGGUCCUCUGCUCAGCAUCUCAAGCAAACACUGAAUGUCUUCUCUCGGCGGCCUUCUCUGAGGAGCCCAGGUGAAGAUCACUUCCAGUUGACUGAAAGGGACUCUAGACUUCCCUGGGGUCCUGUGUCCUGGCCCUCCCACAGCCCCCUGGCCAUCGCGGGCUCCCAUGGUCCUUGGAGGGCAAAUUUCUAGCCACUUGGUCUCUUGAGUGACACCACCCAGCCCCCUUGGGCCCACCAGGCACCAUCUUUCCACCCUCCAAGACUCAGCCCUCCCAAACAGGCCCACCUACAGCUUGCGUUCACCCCCUUGUGAGAGCAGAGCAGACAGCUUCAUUAGAACACUGAUGAAGCGGGUGUAGUGGGUUGGGUGGUGGCGUCCAGAAAGGUAUAUCCAUGCCCGAAUUCCUGAGACUGCGACUAUUACUUUAGUUGAAAAAAAUUAAUAACAGAAAAAAUAAUUUAAAAAAUAAAUAAAAAAU
rnacentral:lncRNA from 1 species